ensembl:snRNA U6 U6 spliceosomal RNA
GUGCUCCCUUCAGCAGCACAUAUACUAAAAUUGGAAUGAUACAGAGAAGACUAACAUGGCCACUAUGCAAGAAAGACAUAAAAAUUCGUGAAGUGCUCCAUAUUUUU